ACUAUUAAUAAUCCAAUUAUAUAAUUAUAAAUAACUAUCGCUGCAAGCUUUAUGGUGUGAUGCUAGAGAUGUGUUAAGUGCGGAAAGCGAUAGUUUCGCGCCUAGCUAAGUUUUUUCCAAAAUGAAACCAUACGUAUGUAUAUUUUAUUAUUUAGUCGUUAUUGGCCCGGUGGAGUUCAUGUAGUCCAUCAAGGCAUCCAAGUCGAAAGGACCAAACCUUGCAAAAUAAGGUACUCCAUGACCACCACGCGGUACUUGUGUUCCAAAUCGAGUGGAAUAAACCUGGGCACCUGGCACAUGGAGCACCUUACUCGCACACUGAAUACUCUCUGAUCGGCGUUCAAAUCGUAACGGAUACGGAGACCGGAAACCUGGAGGAAUCGGGAGGAACGCGGUGUGGGCGAACUGGCAUUCAUGGGCGCCACCACGUGCUCCAGCAGCUCCACAACGUGCCUACCACGCAGACUGAGGGCCACCAGUCUAUUCUGCCAUGGGCACAUGGCAAACAAUUGCUUGUAGGACUCACUGCCAGCUGGAAUAGGCACGCGAAAAGUUCCCGUGGAUGUCAAGGCAAUAGUUACGUUACUCCAACUCUCCCCAGACGACGAUGAAGCAUCCUUGACAAACUGAAGAUUCUCAUUGGACUAGGUCAGUUGCAAGUGGGUUGAACCCACCAAUACUUACCGCAUGAAGCAUGGCAUCGGUGAAGAAGUUACCCAGAUUGCAUUCCCCACUGCUGCACUGACUCUUCUGGAGAUUCACGCGACUUUGGCCCACUGUCCGCUCGGCAAUGGGUUCCAUCUCGAGUUGCCAAGGCACCAUGGCCUCCAGUACGAUGUCAUCUUUAGGGGAUUUCAAAUGAGAAAAGAUAUGGUUGUGUACUUUCCCUGAUAACUUUAUUGUGACAACUGCAAGAAUUGCACAUUAUGGAUAUAAUACAUAUAAUCAGUUGAGCACUGUGAUGCGUCCCUCGAGGCCCUGGUAAAUGGGAUUGAUGUGAUUGCUGUA